GUGCUUGCUUCAGCAGCACAUAUCCUAAAAUUGAAAUGAUACAGAGAAAAUUAGCAUGACCCCUACCCAAGGAUGACACACAAAUUCAUGAAGCAUUCCAUAUUUAA
rnacentral:snRNA from 1 species